AUGGCUGAGAUGGUCACGUCUGCCAUGGUUCGGGAAGCAGUUAGCCGGAUUAUUUCGGGGAGAUCUUUGAUUUAUCAUGUGUUGCAUCCGGGAGGCCAGUUUCACGUAUUCGACAUACGGCCAAUGGGGUUCGACGAGAGAGGGUUGGAGGUCAUCCUAUCCUUCGUGUAUCAAGAUUGCAAGGUGCCCAAGAACAGUUUCCGCCUCGGGUUCAUGUUGCGUGUUUCCGAGAGUACAAACAUAAUCAGAACUUCAAUCAAGUGCUUGCGACAGCGUCAAAUCUCAGUAUCCGAGUACAGUUGUCAAUUGCAGAGAUCAACCGCAGCAACUGGUAAUGCUGACACAUCUACUUCUCCGGAGAUUUUCCCACCUUUGAAGCUAGUGAUUCUAUUAAUGCCUCAUCACCCAUUGGAGGAUCCUAAGUCCACAAGCGAGGACUCUGCGAUAGAGGCGAUCGAUGGAGAGAAGUAA
rnacentral:rRNA from 1 species